ensembl:lncRNA
GCCCUGCCUCUCGGCCCCAGGCCUGACGACUCUCAGCGAUGGCUGAAUCCACCCUGUGGUGAGCACCGCGUGAUCCAGCCACCUUCCAGAAUCCUCGCCUCUGAGCUGCUUGAGAGGCUGAGGCAGCAGGACCACAAGUUUGCGGCCGACUGGGCAGGAUCAGAGGCUAGAGAGUCAACAGUGGAUGGGUGUCCGUGUGAUGAAGACCUGGAGGACCCAGUAGCUGCUCAGCCACAAAGAUGGAAGCCACUGAACAAGAGGGAUCAAGGAUGCAGGGCCAGUCCAAGGUGGAAGGCCUGGACACUCGGUGGAGUCACCAGUUCAAGUCUGUGUUGGAGGCUGAAGAAACUGGAGACCAAUGUUCAAAGGUGUAGCAAAAGCCUGCCACAGUGCUGGGAGUACAGCUGCGCACCACCACGGCCAGCGGCUGGGCUGAGAAACUUACAAGCGCCGUCUUCCACUGCAAGGCUGCGUACUGACCACACAGUUAAAGACGUCGAGGGAGGAGCCGUGCUGUCAGACCCUGCCCACUCCGCCCCCAAACGUGCCUGCUUUCUAUCCCUGUAUUGAAAAGAUUUCCCCCCUUAUUAAAUAUGAUGCUG